rnacentral:rRNA from 1 species
GACGAACGCUGGCGGCGUGCUUAACACAUGCAAGUCGAACGAAGUGGCAAACGGGUGAGUAACGCGUAAUCAACCUGCCCUUAAGAGGGGGAUAACAGUAGGAAACGACUGCUAAUACCGCAUACUGAAGGAGGUGGUUGCGUCUGUUUAGCUAGUGGGAGGGGUAAAGGCCCUCCACGGCGAUGAUCAGUAGCCGGUCUGAGGGGAUGAACGGCCACAUGGGGACUGAGACACGGCCCCGACUCCUAAGGGAGGCAGCAGUGGGGAAUCUUCCGAAAUGGACGAAAGUCCGACGGAGCAACGCCGCGGGAGUGAUGACGGCCUUCGGGGUGGAAAGCUCUGUUAAUCGGGACGCGGUACCGGAAUAGAAAGCCACGGCUAACUACGUGCCAGCAGCCGCGGUAAUAC